rnacentral:lncRNA from 1 species
UGCAUUUAUCAUUGAGUGUGCGUGAGCGCAAGUGGCAUAAGAUUUGAUGCUUAGUACAUAAAAUUUUAAGUUUGAAGUAUAGUUAUUAUUUUAUAUAUUUAGAUUAGCUUAUUUUAGAAAAUUGAAUGAAGCAAUAGAAUGCUCUUUUUUGCCUUUCUCUCGAGAAAAGUAAUUCCUGAGCACUUUAGCUUUUUCGCAAAUAAAUGUCUGAGCUUUUAAUUUUGGUAAAUAUAUGCUUUAAACUUUAUCAAAUAGUUCAAUAGGUCUCUUUACUCAAGUAAACUUACUUACUAACUGUACUACUAUUUU